rnacentral:rRNA from 1 species
AAUAUUGCGCAAGGGAGAAAACGCUGACGUAGCGACGCCGCGUGAGCGAUGAAGGAAUUAGGAUAGUAAAGCUCUGUCCUCGGGGAAGAAGGAUACCUUAUAGGGGUCCUGACGGUACCCGUGGAGGAAGGCCCGGCGAACUACGUGCCAGCAGCCGCGGUAAUACGUAGGGGGAGAGCGACGCCCGGAAUUAGUGGGCGUAAAGGGUGCGUAGGCGGCCUUUUUAGUCAGAUGUGAAAGCCCCCGGCUUAACCGUGGGAUUGCAUUUGAAACUGUAGGGCUUGAGUAUCGGAGAGGGUAGUAGAAAUCCCAAUGUAGCGGUGAUAUGCGUAGAUAUUGGGAGGAACACCAGUGGCGAAGGCGACUACCUGGACGAAAACUGACGCUGAUGCACGAAAGCUAGGGGAGCAAACA